GGAAGGUGCGGCUGGAUCACCUCCUUUCU
rnacentral:ncRNA from 4 species